CCUCUCCUCUCAGGUCCCGUUACUAUCGACCUGAAAACCAAAAAAAAUGCAUCUUUCUCUCCUUUCCCAUGCGAAGAAAAUACCGAAAUCUAAACAUCAAUUCUUCAUCUCCUACUCGAUUGUUCCAACCCGACGAGAAAAUCAUUCCUACUUUUUAUCAAUCAUUCGCUUUAUAAAUCCUAAAUCGUGUUAACCAACUGAACCCUAAAUACCAUCAAAAUUAAAACAAAACCGAAGCAAUUGUUUUGAGUUUUCUCCUGCUUCUUUCUUUUUCUUCUUCUUCUUCAACAAAACCUGGAUAAUGAUUAGUCCUGUUACAAACCUAGAUGCUAAAAUUUCAUAGGGGUUUGGCUGAAUCAAUGACUCAGUGAGUAAGAUUGGUGAAUUGGUGGCUGAUCCAAAAUCCCAAUGACUACACUGAGAAACCCGACUUUUGAUUGAUAAAGUUAUCCAGUCAGGUGUAGUUCCUCGUUUUGUUCAGUUUCUUCAGGGGGAGCAAUUUCCAUAACUUCAGUUUGAGGUGGCUUUGGCUCUUAUGAACAUUGCUUCUGGAAUCUCAGAGAAUAUCAAAAUGGUCAUUGGGCAGGGAGCUAUCCGAAUCUUUGUGUCACUUCUCAGUUCCCCCAGUAAUGAUGUUCGAGAACAGGCUAUGUGGGCACUUGGAAAUGUUGUCGGUAAUUCACCUAAAUGCCGAGAUCUUGUUAAAUCAAUUAAAUGAGCAUGCCAAACUUUCUAUGCUGAUAAAUUCCACCUGGACUUUAUCUAUAAUUUUGUCGGGGUAAGCCACAGCCUUCCUUUGAACAGAGACAAAUCCAGGAAUCCUGUACUCCCUGCUCUUAAGCGUCUUAUUAACUCAACUGAUGAAGAAGUACUUACAGAUGUCUGCUGGGCUGUUUCUUAUCUGACGAUACAAAUGACUAAAUUCAAGUUGUUAUUGCAGUUGGUGCCUGUCGCCGACUUGUUGAUUUAUCGCUGUAGGUAUCACUUCAUUGUAUUAUGUUUCUUUUCCAGUCACCCAUCUCCUACUGUACUCAUUCCCGCCCUACGCACUGUUGGCAAUAUUAUUACUCGAGAUGAUCGUCAGACUCAGUGAUAUCAUUGAACUUCAAGCACUUCCCUGCCUCAUGAACAUGUUGACAUAACCAAUAAAAGAGUAUAAAGAAAGAAGCUUGCUGGACUAUCUCAAACAUUACUGCUGGAAACAAGGACAUGAAGGAUUAGCUAACUUUUUCAAACAUAAUAUAGUGCUACACUGUUUCAGAGCUUCAAGUGGUUUAUUACGUUUUCGUCGUUCUCCACAUAACAUAUAUUAGUUUCUUUUUUUGUUAUUCAGGUGGGUGAUAUAAUUGAUUAUGGUAUGUACAUAAUUUACCACAUAUAUUCUAAGGCUAUGUCCUGGAUGCUCGUUCCGACCAACGAGAUAGAGCUAAUCCUCGACGUGUAUCCAGUUCCUCUGCAGUUUGCAGGAAAGUAAAGUUUUUUCUGCUCCUUGACUUUCAUUUAUGAACAUCUUCAUUUUGAUGAACACAUCACAUUUGUUUUUUUUAGUAUUAUUGUAUCACUUUGCAUAUAUCAGUUUUUUAAAAUCAUAGCUUCUUCUGAAGCUAUGUGACAACUAAUGUGUCAUGUUUUCUAACUGUUCAUUCUCUACUGAUUAUAACGCUAGAUCAGGAUAUCAUGCACCUCUUGCUGGGAGGACAAGUAACUUCAUACUUAAGAGAGAUUAUAUUUCUGGAAACACAUCCAAACUCCCGGGUAGACCAAUCUGCAAGUGAAGAAAUGUUACUUAAUCCAUCUGUUUUAGUUUUAUUUUUAACCUUCAACUAUAUCAUUUGUUGGAAACUCAGCACUGAACUUGAAUUUCUGUGGUGUUAAGAUUUUCUGUGUUGCUUGAAUGUAAUAAAUUUAGACCUUGUAAUUCUUUUUUGAAUGAAUAAAUGAUGUUGUUGGAAA